ensembl:lncRNA
UCUCAGUGAAUUACAAUUAGCCUGUCUUUCUUUUACUUCUCUUUCUUGUAGUCACCUCCUCCCUCCGUACGACAGGGGACUCAUUGAGGUAUUUCUGUUCAACCGCUUGUCAGGGCUGUCCUCUCCAUCAGGAAGCGGUGGGUCUGAUCCAGCCUCAUCAGGCCGCUCCUCCAGGGCUGUGAUUGAGGGCGGGGCAGGGGACUCGCACCAUAUGGCUGACCGAAGCCCCGCAGCCUCCCCAGGGGCGAUGAGAAAGCUCACUCCUGAUCACAGCUCAGAGAGGGAAUCAGAGAGAGAAAGCAAGACAGAAAGAGAAGGAAAAAAAAUAAGCAAGCUGUUCCCUCCGAGAGCCAUUACGAGUAAAGUUAGGGACCCCUCAUCGUCUGGGAGCCGCUCAACAGGCAGCGGCCCAUCCCACUGAGUCCAGCUGUUCAGAGAUGAGCCACCUUGCCAGAAAAUAACCACCCUGACAUUUUGAAUAUGCUUCUGUGGGGCUUAGCAGCACACCAAAUAUUUGCAUGCCUUUUGUCUCCAAAGGCAAAGGAGAUAGGGGAGAGUCAACAGCGUUCUCCUCCUGAGAUAGACACGUCUAAAUGGAGCUCACAUCCCCACACCCCCGACAGGUCUCUCAUCGCCCCAUGAAGCUCACCACCUGGAGGGCCCAGUGAUUG